GAGUGUCGAACCUAUCAAAUCACAGCCUAUUGACUCCAAAUUCCACAUACAAGCCAACAAUGACACCAUUAAUCUAUUCCAACUUACCGGAAAUCUCAUCCGGCCCCGAUAUCAUAUUUCCACUUCCAACCAAAAUCGCCAAAAUUCCAACUUUUGCCAAUUCAAGUCUAAACCUACUAUAGACCUUCAAAUCACAUUUUGAACGCGCUCCUAAGUCCAAAAUCACCUGCCAGAGUUAACAGAGCCAUCAAAAAUCAAAUAUGAGAUCGUUUAUAAAUAAGUCAACAUUCGGUCAACUUUUUCAACUUAACCCUUCCUGUAAGAAACUAAGUGUCUCAAUUUACUCCAAAACCACUUCGAACCCAAACCAACUAACCCGGUAAGACAAAAUUCAGCUGAAGAACACAAAAGAAGCAAUAAAUGGGGAAACGGGGCUUUAACUCUCGAAAUGACCAGCCGAGUCGUUACAUGUUAGCGCCAUAGAUUUCCUUUCGUGCCUUCUCAGUUGUCUUUAAAUGUAAGAAAUUACUUUUCCUGGUCAUUGUACCACUUUUUGCAUGAAUACUUAGGUUAUCUUAGUACCCUCACAUACUGUAAUUCCAUGCAACCCAUAUGAUCUCGAAUAUUACUUUUGAUUUUUCCUUCCCGUUCAUUAGUAACAAUAGGUUCCACUUAUUAUAGAGUGCAUAUGAUGUUGUAGUGAGAUUAUUAUUACAAGACCAUUAUUUCUUUAGGUCACUAUACUUAAGUUGAAGCCUUCUUCCUUAUUUCCUCAACUAGUCUUUUGUUGUAAUACUUAGUGGAGACCCUCUGACUCUUGUAAAGCUGUGAGCUUAUUACAUUGUAUACCCGACGGAAUUUUUGAUGUUCUUACUCGCCUAUAAAUAUCCUUAGUUACAUACCCCCUUGACCCUAUGCUCGUAGGGUUACUUCUGAACUCAAAUUUUGAUUGUCUCCUUAGUGGCACUCUCUCUUAUUUUCGUAAAACUUAAACGAUACCUUUAACUACCCCAACUCCUAUUUGAAAAUUUUUCAAGCAUUGAGAUCUCGUAUCUGGGAGAUUGAAUUCCCUAUGCUGGGGUUCAUUAUGUUUAUCUUGCAUGAUCUAUUGAUUUAUCUAUGGCCUCUUGUCUAGCCAUAACUAGGCUCUUCCUGAAUCAACUACUGACUACUCGUUGGUCCAUUCUCAUAUCUAUAUUUUGUAUAACCUCUCUUGAGGUAUGUUUUUUCCUCUUAACUUACCUCUCGCGCUGGAUCCUUAUAUAUCAAGUGUCCAUUCGCACUUAUUUACCUAAUAACAUCCAUUCGCACUUAUUUACCUAAUUUUGAUUAAUUAAAUCACUAUGUUAAUAAUUCAAAAUUAGUGUUACCAUUUAGAAAUAAAGUAUUUUAUAAAUAAUUGAUUACAAUAAUUGAUGAUUAUAAUUUUUACUACAUUUUAUUAAAAAUAAUUAAGUUUAUUUAAAUUACCAUGGUCGUUGAUCAAAUGAUCCAACGGUCCAGAUCAUUCCCUCCAACUUUAACCUAAAGACUAUUUGGUUUCAUUCCAUAACUCUAAUUUAUUUGUCACUAAUUCAUGCCGCCCCAUUUCCCUUUUCUAUCUCAUUUUCUCUCAAGCUUCAAACCAUCGGUCCCAGAACACCUUGCACCAAAUCGUGCAAGGUUAUGAAUCAUGACCCCAAAUCAUUCCCUAUGUCUUCUGACUUCGGAAAUCUCGAUGUUAUCUUUCUACACCAAUUUUGUAUCGAUGAACAAUUUAAUACGCUAGAAAUUAGACUCGUAGACCAUAAAUUUGAUAGGUGGAUAACUACAUAAUUCGUAUUAUAUUAAGAGAAAAGCUCUGAUACAUUUGACCUAAUUUUCAGCACAUUUACGAAUGUAACUUUUGAUGACCAUUGCCAACUUUUGUUCCAAAGCUCGCUUGACUUUAAAACUCAACAUAAGACUAUCGUACGACUAUAAUAACUCAUAACAUAACCUCCUUAUCAUGUUAAGAACACUAGUCUCACCCCAAAAAUACAUGUUAUAAUAUUUCCAAUUUGCCGACUUCCGACGAAACUUAAUUUUAUCAAUUUGUUUAGCUUCUACGCCUUCAAUCCCUCUUGAUACUUGUUAUUAUUGAUCUUAAAUAUUUAUAACCUCUAAGGUAACAUAAUUAACUUACUUUAUAUACUUCCAAAUAUUAUCUCAUUUCUGAUCUUACAUCAAUUGACUUACGACGCAAUCCCACGUACGAAAAUACGGGGUGUAACAACUAGGUAUUACAAUAAGGUUUUUUUCUUCAACUGGAAAAAUGGUAUAUUCUUUUUUCUCUACCCCUAAGCAAUAUAUAUUAUAGUGUGCAAUGACAAAUCCACAUUGAUCGAAGUAAAAUCACUUCGUCGGAAAAUUAUACUAAAUAAUUAUUAGUAUUAUACUGAUUCUACUAUAUAAUAAGAGAGAGUUAGAAGACAUCUGGAUGAAAUGUCUACUUAGGAUUUAGGGGGCAUUAAUGUCUUUUUUCUUUAAAUGUGCUUCCUCCUGGAAGUACCCUCAGCUAUCUUGUUUGAACUCCAAUAUUUUAAGCCAACAAAUGAUUUGAACGACCUAUAAAAAGGGUUCUACGACCUGUAGAAAUUCAUUAAACAUGGUGGUUCAGUUCAUUCUUUGAUUGCUCUACUCCCCCAAACAAACCCUUUUGCGAUGUCAGGUGGGCAUGUGAAGACCCACAAGUUCAUCCCAAUUUAUAGCACAUGGCAUACGUCACCUCUGACAAAUAACAUAGCUUGCUUUUUAGAGGAGUCUUCAACCACAUGCUUUCACUCUUUUUCAUCAUAAAUUUUUUAGAGUAAAAUAUUUGACAUUAAAAUUAACAAAAUAUUCAAUAAAAUUUACAAAAUCAGGAAAUAUAAGCCACAUAACAGGCAAAUCGGAUAUAUUUUCUAACUGUGUGAUUCACUUUAAAAUAUAAUUAUAUAAAUUUGGAAGUGUUUGGAGAUAGAUAUACCAUUUAAAACUAUUUAAAAAAGUUUACCUUAAUUUGUUAUUUAAUAUUAAAAAUAAGAAUAAGCAGAAUAUUAACUAUUGUAAACAAGUAACUACAUAUAUUCUAUACUACAAAUUAUUUGCAUAAGACUAAUCCUUAAAUAUUACUAUGCCAUUUAAAUUUAUAUGCCAAAUCUUUAAGUAUUUGUAUGGAUGUCAAACCAAUUGAAUCUUCAUAAUAAGUUUUAAAUGUCAAUUAAAAACUUUGUAACGACCCGACCAGUCGUUUUAAGAAUUAAUGCCCCGAUCUUCUAUUAACUACUAUUCCCGUGUUUAUUUCUGUAUAUGUGAGUUGUCGGGAGAAUUCGUUUGGAGUUUUGAAGUAUUUUGGGAUAUUUAGUCCCUCAAUGAGAGCUUUAAAAUUUGGACCGUAGUCAAAGUAGUGUGAUCAUGGCCUCUAAAUGGAAUUCAAUAGGUUCUGUUAGCUCCAUUGGGUGAUUUUAGGCUUAGGGGCAUGUUCGAAUUGUGUUUUGGAGGUUCGUAGCUUAUUUAGGCUUGAAAUGCUGAAAGUUGAAUUUUUGAAGUUUCCAGUUUGAUGGCGAGAUUUUGAUAUAGGGAUCAGAAUGGAAUUCCGGAAAGUCGAGUAGGUCCCUGGUGUCAUUUGGGAUGUGUGUGCAAAACUUCAGGUCACUCAGGCAAGGUUUGGUAGACUUUUUGAUCGAAAGCGAAAUUUGGAAGUUUUGAAACCCUUAGGCUUGAAUCCAAGAGUGUUUUGAUGAUUUGAUGUUGUUUUAAGUGUUUUGAAGAUUGGUAUAAGUUUGAAUAGUGGUAUAUGACUUGUCCGUAUUUUUCGUUAAGGCCCCGGGGGCCUCGGGAUGAUGUCGGAAGGUUGUCGGAAGAAUUGGGAGUUUGUUUGAGCAGCUUCAGCUGCUGAACUUCUGUCAUAACCGCACCUGCGAAUUGGAGACCGUAGGUGCGUGAUUGCAGAAGUGUGGGAGAAGCUGCAAAUGCGGCCAUGAGCUAGAAGACCAGAAGUCACAGGUGCGAGAGGUUGAGCACACCUGCGAGACCGCAGGUACGGUAAGUGAAGCGUAGGUGCAACCCCAGUGCAAUUAGUGGUUUCCACAAAUGCGCACCUAGGACCACAGGUGCGAGUCCGCAAGUGCGGAAACCCUGGGACAAAACCUAUAUAAAGGUCCCUUCGUGAUUUCAGCUCAUCUUUCACCAUUUUCACCAGGGAUUGAAGCUUUUGGGAGGUUUUUGAGAGAGAAUCCAAGGGAAAUUUGAGGAGGUAAAGUUUUUGGAACCAAAACUCAUUUAUAUGGUAUUAUUCUAUUGAUUUGGCAAGAAAUUUAUGGAAAAUGAGGGUUAAAACUGGGGGUUUUGGGUUUGAAAUUGGAGACUCGAUUUAGGGAUUUGAGGGGUUGUUUGUGGUCCAAUUUUGAUGUAUUUGGUAUGUGUGAACUCGUGAGAGUGUAAGGAUUCUAGUUUUGCGAAUUUUAUCUGAUUCCAAGACAUGGGCCCGGGGUACUUUUUGGGUAAUUUUCUUAAUUUCGCGUGUUAGCUUCGAAUUCAUUAGUUAAUUAGUUACUUGAAGUUAUAUUUACAUUAUGCAAUUACUUUGAAUAGAUUAUUUGGAGUCGGGUACUUGUGGUAAGAAUGUGGUUUCGAGUUGAUUGAGCUAGUUCGAUGUAAGUGGCUUGCUUAACCUUGUGUGGGGGAACUCCCCUUAGGAUUUGGUAUUUUUGUUAUAUGACUACCGUGUACAUGAGGUGACGAGUGCGUACAUGUGCUAAUUGUUGAAAAUCCAUUUUCAAUAAGCUAAUUCCUAUGUUUUCUUGUAAUUUAGAAAAUACUUGUACUUGAAGCCUCUUGUUUAGAUUAGGAAAAGCAUGCCUACGUGACUUAAUUAUCUUACCUGCUCUAAUUGCCUACUUGUACUCUGUGCAACAUGUUAGAGUAGAAAUUCCUAUCUAAUUCUUUAAUAGAACUGUUUAUUUUUCUGAGAUGAUUGUGUGUUUACUUUGGGACUACGGGACGAUAUCUCGAGAGAUCCCCUGACUUGUUUACUUUGGGACUACGGAUUGGUAUUCCGGUAAAUCCCCUUGCUCAUUUAUGAUUGGGACUGCGGGACAGCACCCGGUAGAUUCCCCGUACUGGAUAUUUACUUUGGGACUAUGGAUUGGUAUUCUGGGAGUUUUCCUUGCACAUUAAUGAUUUGGACUACGGGGCGAUAUCCCGAGAUAUCCUCUAGACAUUUACGUUUGGGACUAUGGGAUGGUAUCCCGGGAGAUCCUCUGUUGCUAUUUCUGUAUACUGAGUUAGAUUCUUUCUGUGUUUUCAUUCAUUAUAGACUGUUAGCACUUUAAUUAUAUUGUCGUAUUUUACACCAUUUUACCUUGUUUUUCAUCUAUAAUCAGUAGGGCCCUGACCUUCCUCGUCACUACUCGACCGAGAUUAGGCUUGACACUUACUGAGUAACGUUGUGGUGUACUCAUGCCCUUUCCUGCAUAUGUUUUCGUGUGCAGAUCCAAGUUCUUCGGCGUCAUACCAUCAGUGAGGCGAGGUGAUCUUCAGAGACUACGAGGUAUAUAUGCGGCGUUCGCAGACCGAGGAGUCCCUCUCUAUUCUUCCCUCUAGCUAGCUUUAACUCUCCUGUAUUUACUUUUGUUUAGAAAUUCUGGAGUUAGAACACUUGUAGUUAUUCAACAACUUGUGAUUUCAUGAGAUUCCGAGUUUUGGGAGGUGUUUCAGUUUGAGAGUUUAUAUUUGUAUAUGCCGAGCAGCAUUUUAAAUGUUUCAUUUAUGUUUUAUCCACAGUUUUUGGUUAGUUUUAUCUUUCAUUUACUUUUUCUGCAAAUUGUUAGACUUUCCUAGUCGUAGAGACUAGGUGCCAUCACGACAGUUCACGGAGGGCGAAAUCGGUUCGUGACAAGUUGGUAUCAGAGUUCUAGGUUUAUAGGAGUCAUGAAUUACAAGCUGGUUUAUUAGAGUCUCACGGAUCGGUAUAGAGAUGUCUGUGCUUAUCUACGAGAGGCUAUGUAAAGAAAAAUUCCACUUCAUUUGAUUUCCUUGUCGUACGAGAUUUUGGUAUCACAAUUCUAAACUUUUUUCUUUUAUUCUCUCACAGAUGGUGAGGACACGUACUAACGGAGAUGACCAGGCACCUGCACCCUCUACUAGAACCAUCAUAGGUUGGGGCUGGGGUAGAGGCUGAGGACACCCACGUAGUGCAGCCAGAGCACUCGCACGAGCUGCCACCAAGGAGCCACCAGCAGCUCCAGCCAGAGUCCAAGCACCUGAUACACCUACUGAUACUAUUAUUCCAGCUCUUCAGGAUACUCUUGCACAGUUCGUGAGCAUGUACACCACUCUAGCUCAUGCAGAGUUGAUUCUCCUUACUGUAGCCACAUCCUAGGCCGGGGGAGGAGAACAGACUCCCAUGUCGUACUCUUGAGCAACAGGUCCAGGUUGAUCAGAUUCCAUAGGUUAUACCGGUACCUCCUGUAGCUGCAGUUCAGCCCGAGGACAAGGCAGCGGCUUCAUAGGAUGAGCAGCAGAGGCUUGAGAGAUUCAAGAAGUACAAGCCUCCUAUAUUCAGUGGUUUAGCAUCAGAUGAUGCCUUGGGAUUUCUGGAGGAGUGUUACCGUAUCCUCCUUACUAUGGGUAUAUCAGGAUAGAGUGGGGUUUCUUUCACUGCCUUCUAACUUCGAAGAGUAGCCUACCAGUGGUGGUUUACUUUUGAGUUGGAUAGUCCAGCUGAGGCAGCAUCCCUUACUUGGACUCAUUUUUCAGAUAUGUUCUUGAGAGAGUUUGUCCCUCAGAGCCUCAGGGAUGUAUGGCGCGUAGAGUUUGAGCAUUUGUGCCAGGGCACUAUGACUGUUUCGGAGUAUGCUGUCCGUUUCACUGACUUGGCUAGGCAUGCACCAACCUUGGUUUCUAGAGUUCGUGAGAGGGUUUGUCGGUAUAUUGAGGGGCUCAUUCCCAACACCACGUCUAGCAUGGCUCGUAAGUUAGAGAUGGAUAUUUCUUAUCAGCAGGUGGUGAGCAUUGCUAAGAGAGUAGAGGAUAUGCAUUCUCUGGGAUAGAGAGGAGAGGGAGGCCAAGAGGUCUCGAGAGUCGGGCCAUUAUUCUAGUUUCCGUGUUCCAGCUGCAGUUUGUCAUGGUAGGGGUUAUAUGAGACCCUGUUCAUUCAGCUCGUCCAGCAGCCAGUGGUAUUCCACCUCCUCCUAUACCUUAGGAGCCUUACUAUGCACCUCCAAUAUCAAGUGCACCUCCUGCACGGGGUGUUUUUAGUAGUUAGUCUAGCAAACCUGGCCCGAGCCAGUCACAGCCACCGCGCCCUUCUAGAGCUUGUUUUGAGUGUGGCGACACAUGCUAUAUGGUUAGGGAUUUCUCCAGACUUAGGAGAGGUGCACCUCCACAGACUCCUCAACCACAGCGUGCCUCGUAGAGUUCCUAGGCUAUGGUUCAAGCACCAGUUGCUACCCCACCUGCUCAUCCAGCUAGAGGUGGAGGUCAAGGAGGUAAAGGUCGCCCUAGAGGGGGAGGCCAUGCCAUAUAUUAUGCCCUUCCUGCCCGUACUGAGGCUGUUGCCUCUGAUUCUGUCAUUACAUGUAUUGUCCUGGUUUAUCAUAGAGACGCAUCAGUUCUAUUCGAUCCAGGCUCCACUUAUUCUUAUGUGUCUUCUUAUUUUGCCCCCUAUUUGGUCGUAUCUCAAGAUUCUUUGAGUUCCCCUAUUUAUAUUUCUACUUUUGUAGGGGAUUCUCUUGUUGUGAACCGCGUUAUUGGUCAUGUUUGGUUGCUCUUAGUGGUUUUGAGACCAGAGCCGAUUUAUUAUUGCUCAACAUGGUAGAUUUCGAUGUUAUCUUGGGCAUGGACUGGUUUUCGCCCCAUUAUGAUAUUCUUGAUUAUCAUGCCAAAACCUUGAUGUUGGCUAUGCCAGGUGUACUGCGAGUAGAGUGGAGGGGUACUUUAGAUCACACUUCCAGUAGAGUUAUUUCUUUCCUUAAAGCUCAAUAAAUGGUUGCGAAGGGGUGUGAAGCUUAUCUAGCCUAUGUGAGAGAUGUUAGUGUUGAUACCCCUACAGUUGAUUCAGUCCCAGUAGUACGGGACUUCCCUAAUGUGCUUCCAACUUACCUUCGGGGCAUGCCGUCCGAUAGAGAUAUUGAUUAUGGCAUUGAUUUCUUGCCGGGCACUCAGCCCAUUUCUAUUUCUCUGUACUGUAUGGCUUCUCUUGAGUUGAAGGAGUUGAAGGAUCAGUUGUAGGAAUUUCUUGAUAAGGAUUUUAUUCAGCCCAGUGUAUCACCUUGGGGUGCUCCUGUCUUGUUUGUGAAGAAAAAGGAUGGUUCUAUGCGUAUAUGCAUUGAUUAUCGCCAGUUGAACAAAGUUACAGUAAAGAACCGGUACCCUUUUGCCUCGUAUUGAUGAUUUGUUUGACCACCUACAGGGUGCACGAGUGUUUUCUAAGAUUGACUUGCGUUCAGGUUACCAUCAAUUGAAGAUUCGGGAGCAGCCAUCCCAAAGACUACUUUUAGGACUCGGUAUGGUCAUUACGAGCUUCUUGUUAUGUCAUUUGGGCUGACCAAUUCCCCAACAGCCUUCAUUCAUUUGAUGCAUAGUGUGUUAUGUCCAUAUAUUGACUCGUUCGUCAUUGUCUUUAUUGAUGAUAUUCUAGUAUACACCCAGAGUCGGGACGAUCAUGAGCAGCACCUAAGGACAGUGCUUUAGACUUUGAGGGAAAAGAAGUUAUAUGCAAAGUUCUCGAAAUGUGAGUUUUGAUUGGAAUCUGUGGCAUUCUUGGGUCACGUGGUAUCGAGUGAGGGUAUACAUAUAGAUUCAAAGAAAGUGGAAGCAGUGCAGAGUUGGCCUAGACCAUCCUCAGCUACAGAGAUCCAUAGUUUUCUUGGCUUGGCGGGUUAUUAUCGUUGAUUUGUUGAGGGGUUUUCAUCUAUUGCAACACCUAUGACCAGGCUGACCCACAAGGGUGCUCCGUUCUAGUGGACAGAAGAGUAUAAGGGGAGCUUCCAGAAGCUCAAGAUGGAUUUGACUACAAUCCCAGUAUUGAUAUUGCCUACAGGUUCGGGGUCUUAAACUAUCUAUUGUAAUGCCUCGAGGAUUGGCCUUGGAGCGGUAUUGAUGCAGGACGAUAGGGGGAUUGCCUAUGCAUCCAGACAGUUGAAGGUAUAUGAGAAGAAUUAUCCUAUCCAUGAUCUCGAUUAGCUGCUAUUGUUCACGUCUUAAAGUUCUAGCGUCAUUAUUUGUACGUCGUUCCUUGUGAGAUCUAUACUGAUCACCAGAGUUUGCAGCAUCUGUUCAAGCAGAAGGAUCUUAAUUCGCGCCAUAGGUGAUGGUUAGAGCUAUUGAAGCACUAUGAUAUCACUAUCUUGUAUCAUCCGGGCAAGGCCAAUGUGGUGGUCGAUGCUUUAAGUCGUCGGGCGGAUAGUUUGGGGAGUUUGGAUUAUCUACCAGCAGCGGAGAGGCCCAUGGCGAUGGAUGUUCAGGCCUUAGCUAGCCAGUUUAUGAGAUUUGAUAUUUUGGAUCCUUGUCGGGUUCUAGCUUGCAUGAUCUCUCGGUCUUCCUUAUUUGAUUAUAUUAGAGAGCGUCAGUAUGAUGACCUUCAUUUGCUCGUCCUCAAGGACAAGGUUCUGCACGGUGAUGCCAGUGAUGUAACUAUUGGUGAUGAAGAGGUAUUGAGGAUGCAGGGUCUGGUAUGUGUACCCAAUGUUGAUAGGCUUCGGGAGUUGAUUCUAGAGGAGGCCCAUAGUUCGCGGUAUUCCAUCCAUGCGAGUGUCGCGAUGAUGUACCAGGAUUUGUGGAAGCACUAUUGGUAGAGGCAGGUGAAGAAAGAUAUAGUUUAGUUUGUAGCUUGGUGCCUUAAUUGUUAGUAGGUAAAGUAUGAGCACCAAAGACCGGGUGGGUUGCUUCAGCAGAUAGAGAUUCCGGAGUGGAAGUGGGAGGGAAUCACCAUGGACUUCGUAGUUGGACUCCCUCGAACUUUGAGGAAGUUCGAUGCCAUUUGGGUGUUGGUGGAUCGACUGACCAAGUCCGCGCACUUCAUUCCUAUGUGUACUACCUAUUCUUCAGAGCGGUUGGCAGAGAUUUAUAUCUGGGAGAUUUUUUGUCUGCAUGGUAUUCCAGUUUUUAUCAUUUCAAACAGAAUACUCAGUUCAUCACGGUUCUAGAGGGUCGUACAAUAUGAGUUGGGUACUCGGAUGGAGUUGAGCAUAGCAUUUCACCCCCAGACGGACGGACAUUCCGACGCACUAUUAAGAUUCUUGAGGAUAUGCUUCGUUCAUGUGUGAUGAAGUUUGGAGGUUCUUGGGAUCAGUUCUUGCCACUGGCAGAGUUUGCCUACAACAACAGUUAUCAGUGCAGCAUUCAGAUGGCAUCGUAUGAGACUUUGUAUAGUAGGCGGUGUAGAUCCUCGGUGGGUUGGUUUGAUCCGGGUGAGGCUAGAUUAUUGGGCACAUACUGGGUUCAAGACGUCGUGGAGAAGGUUAAGAUAAUUCAGGAUAGAUGCCAUACAGCCCAUUCCAGACAUAAGAGUUAUGCGGAUCGGAAGGUUCGUGAUGUUUCCUAUAUGGUUGGAGAGCGGGUCUUGCUUUGGGUUUUGCCUAUGAAGGGCGUUAUGAGCUUGCCUUACCUCCCAGCUUGGCAAGAGUUGUCACACCGUUUUUUUUAAAAAAAACUCACUAACCCUCUUAAAAAUAAUAGAAAGGAUUUGUAAAGCUCAAAAGGUUUUUAACUAAAAAAAGUGACAAAAUUGUGUUCAAAAGGAAAUAACUCAGAGUCGCCACCUGACUUUAAUUUCGGUGUGUCAGGUCAUCAUUUUUUUUAAAACCUUAAUUUUUCCUUUAAAACACUUUAGACUCCAAAAUUAUGUCUACACCAGAGAUUCGGGUAAGGGGGUUCAUUUGACUCGGGGAGAAGGUAUUAGGCACUCCCCAAGUCCUCCAACUAGUACGGUUGCACACUUGAUCUAGUCGACUUUCAGAAUAUUUGAAUUGAGGUAAAACAAACACAGAAAAAUAAACACACAAAACGGCUCGAGAUCGUCCCCACCUAAUAAAAGAAAAAUAAAAUAAAAACAAAAUACUACAAGCUCUACUUUUGGCCUCCAAAUACAAGUACUACGGGGCACUCCCCGGAUAAAAAUAUAUACAAAUCCUUUGGGGCAUUCCACGGAUAAAUUUAACUAAGGGAACGACCUCUCACCUCGAAACUAACAAAAAUCCUAAGGCUUGCCUAACCAAGUGUUGACGGCGUAGCAUGCUCCUAGUGAAUAAAAUGAGAAUAAGUAAAUAAGAGAAAAACUAAAAUAAAUUCGACUCGGGGUCAUGUUUUUUUAACGUAUCAUUUUCAUGUAUUUAGACCAAGCCCAAUUCCUAAAUAUGUAAGCAAAUCAACACUAAUGGGCCAAGUCUUUUUCCCAACUCCCACGUCCCAAAUCAUUCAUUCAACAAAAAAUUCAUGCAUAACUAGUAGGCGCCGAACAACUACAAAUGAAGAAAUAGAGGAAAAACUAAUAAAUAAAAUAAGGAGAAUGGAUCCAAGUAUGAUAAGAGUUGUAUUACACUAGUGUACCCCUCUUUGUGCCUUACCCCCUUCUAAUUUGAAGAUAGAUAAAGUGCAACACAUUAAAAUGCAUAUCAUAGAUUUCCAGACAGAAUAAACAAUUAUCUUAUAGCUGAAGCAAUUUCCUCAUUUAGAACCUUGGCAGUACGUAUCACUCAAAUUUCUACCCAAAUUAUGCAAUUCGCAAAACGAUGCAAAUAUUUUAAGCGACCACAAAGAGAAUUUACUAAGAGAAUACCUACUUAAAAAGUGAGCUAGCAGAGUUUCAAUACAGUGGAAAGCUGAUCAACACAAAAUAACAACAAAUAAACUUGUAUCCUAAUUAAAUGUUGUCGAAUUUUAAGAACCAAAGCAGCAGCACCCAAGCACAAGGAAUCAAGUCCAUUUAGACUGUAUCAUGACACCUCUAGACACUAUCUUUUGCAUAAAACUAACGAUGCUAAAAUAGUUAAAAAUUAGCAUGACUUAAAAAUUAUUUUAACACCCAAAGAACCUCAUCUAGAUCGCUUUAGGCAAGAAGUUGCAGUAUAACAUAGAAAGAUUGAGCAGAACCAACAGCGAGAAUAAUUUUAAAGGAAUUCCAGUACUUAUUUCAUGCCGAAACCGACAAAAAUCAGCAAAACACUCAUGACGAUCAUAAGGAAUGUGUCAUUAAUUAGAUAUUCAUUCAAACAUCCAUACUACUAAUUCGUUUCACUCAAACAUAUCAGAACCAAUAUAAAAUCCUCAUGAUUCAUGAGGAAAUCGCAUCACAUGCUAAUUCCAACCAAACAAACUUGCAAAAAAUUUCUAAACUAAUAAAAUCCGGAUUACUAUCAGAUUACUAUCAAUACCAUAACAAGUUUAGAGGGAGUAAAGAGAUGAACCUGAAGUUGAAUUUUUCUUUGAUAAUAGAAGUGAGGUCGACUACAGAGCUUUGACUCCAAAAUCCCAGCAAACAAAUAACAGAAAUUCAAACUAGGAACUGCGAACCAAUAGCAAGACUCGGACGGCGCAGGAAAACCCGAUCUCGACGACAAACUAAACAAUCUUCAAACUUCCAACGAAUUCUAUUGUUGAAGCAGAAAAUCCGAAAUAAGAAGAAUCUAAAAU
rnacentral:lncRNA from 1 species